rnacentral:rRNA from 1 species
GAUGAACGCUGGCGGCGUGCCUAAUACAUGCAAGUCGAGCGAACGGACGAGAAGCUUGCUUCUCUGAUGUUAGCGGCGGACGGGUGAGUAACACGUGGAUACCCUACCUAUAAGACUGGGAUAACUUCGGGAAACCGGAGCUAAUACCGGAUAAUCUUUUGCACCGCAUGGUUCAAAAGUGAAAGACGGUCUUGCUGUCACUUAUAGAUGGAUCCGGGCUGCAUGAGCUGGUUGGUAAGGUAACGGGUUACCAAGGCAACGAUGCAUAGCCGACGUGGGAGGGUGAUCGGCCACACGGGAACUGAGACACGGUCCAGACUACUACGGGAGGCAGCAGUAGGGAAUCUGCCGCAAUAGGCGAAAGCCUGACGGAGCAACGCCGCGUGAGUGAUGGAGGUCUUCGGAUCGUGAAGCUGGGUUAUUAGGUGAGAACAGAUGUGGAAGGAACUGUGCACAGCGUGACGGUACCGAGUCAGAAAGCCACGGCUAACUACGUG